rnacentral:SRP_RNA from 1 species
GCCGGGUGCGGUGGCUCACGCCUGUAAUCCCAGCACUUUGGGAGGCUGAGGUGGGCGGAUCACCUGAGGUCAGGAGUUUGAGACCAGCCUGACCAACAUGGAGAAACCCCAUCUCUA